rnacentral:lncRNA from 1 species
AAAAAUAUGGAACGAAUGAACUCUUAAGAAUUUAGUUCAACAGAAAGUGAAUAAGUUUAAUAGAUAAUGAACAAAUGUUGGAAUGUUAAUAAACAUUAAAAAAUUCCUUUUUACGCUUAAAGUUGAUUAAUUAAGAAACAAAUACACAGAAUGACAAGUUAAUUAGAACCAUGCUGAAGUAGAUGAUAUUCUGCAGGGCAAACUCUGCAAAAGGCAAUAAAAUUAGAAUAUCACCCAGCACAAAAGGAAACAUCACUCUAUUUCACCUUUUCUUAUAAAAAUAUGGGACCAAACUUCACUGCAUAUGGAAGACAUAUGUCAUGUUCAGAUUGAGAAUGAUUGAAAAAAUAGCACCCAUGCAGAAUAAGGAAAAUUAGUUAGCGGAAUAACACUAUGAAUCACCUUGCACAUAUUAUUUGGGGACCAAACUUCACUAACUAUGGAAGAACAUCAUCACGUCAGAACUGCCAAAUUUGUGAGAAAGGAAACACAUCCAAGCACCAACUAGUGUUCAGAUUGAGAGGUUUCACUUUUAAAUUUCACUCGAUCUACUCUAAUUCUAGACUCAGGUAGCCAACCGGACCAGAUUGUUCUUUCAUAGCGGAUAUGUCAACCAUAUCUCGGGCGAUAUGAAUGACUUUGUUGUUGUGCUAGAAAAUGCCUACUUAACCAUAGCGCAUAUGCUUUGCUAACCAUUGCAGCAAAUCCAUGGGCACAACCACAUGUUCGCGCACAUUUAGAAGAUGUUUGAUUUAGUCUGGCAUAAAGCUUCUCUGCAAAGGAGACACCUUACUAACAACUUUGGCCCAAGGAAGAGUAGAAAACCGUGACCGGAAAGUCGCAGUGGACCGUACAGGAACAUUUUGGCCUAGAAAAAGAAACAGAGGAAGGUAUAAAACUCGGAGUCAUAAAACAACACCAAAAGUGAAGAUAGUGCAAGAAAAGCUGAUAGAUAGUAUACAAAUGAAUUGCUAACAAGUAAACUAUUAAAAAAGGAAAGUGAUUACUUAAGAAUCAUAUGAGUUCAGGUCAAACAACAACAAAAAAUAUAUAAACCAAACAUUAUUUUUAACCUUUUCAUCACAGAAAAAUUGUUCAUAAGUCAUGGACAGAGUGGACAUACUUUUUCCUUAAGAAACCAAGUACUGUGAUGACCAAUCCUUCACAUAAAAACACAUGCAAGCACCAACUACUGGUAUGAGCACCGAAGUAUUUCCAAAAAUCACACAAACCGACAACUAGUAUGAGUAAUCCCUACCAGAA